rnacentral:miRNA from 1 species
GAGGUGGGAGGAUUGCUUGAGCCUGGGAGGUCGAGGCUGCAGUGAGCCAUGAUCAUGCCACUGCACUCCAGCCUGAGUGACAGAGUGAGACCUUGUCUC